GGGGAUUUAGUUCAGCGGCAGAAGUACCUGCCUUGGAAGCAGGCGGUCGUGAGUUCAAUCCCCA
rnacentral:tRNA from 1 species